rnacentral:rRNA from 1 species
AGAGGGGUGCGAGCGUUAAUCGGGAAUUACUGGGCGUAAAGCGCACGUAGGUGGGGGGAUAGUAAGUUGGGGUGUGAAAUUCCUGGGGCUUAACCUGGGCAUGUCACUCAAGACUGCGAUUCUAGAGUAUGGUAGAGGAAAGCGGAAUUUCCGGUGUAGCGGUGAAAUGCGUAGAUAUCGGAAGGAACACCAGUGGCGAAGGCGGCUUUCUGGACUAAUACUGACACUGAGGAGCGAAAGCGUGGGGAGCAAACAGGAUUAGAUACCCUGGUAGUCCACGCUGUAAACGAUGAGGACUAGCCGUUGGAAGGUACUAACUUUUUAGUGGCGCAGCUAACGCGAUAAGUUCUCCGCCUGGGGAUUACGGCCGCAAGGCUA